rnacentral:rRNA from 1 species
UGGGGAAUAUUGCACAAUGGGGAAGACCCUGAUGCAGCAACGCCGCGUGAAGGAUGAAGGUUUUCGGAUCGUAAACUUCUAUCAACAGGGACGAAACAAAUGACGGUACCUGAAUAAGAAGCCCCGGCUAACUACGUGCCAGCAGCCGCGGUAAUACGUAGGGGGCAAGCGUUAUCCGGAAUUACUGGGUGUAAAGGGAGCGUAGGCGGCACGUCAAGCCAGAUGUGAAAGCCCGGGGGCUUAACCCCGUGGAUUGCAUUUGGAACUGGCGAGCUAGAGUACAGGAGAGGAAAGCGGAAUUCCUAGUGUAGCGGUGAAAUGCGUAGAUAUUAGGAAGAACACCAGUGGCGAAGGCGGCUUUCUGGACUGAAACUGACGCUGAGGCUCGAAAGCGUGGGGAGCAAACAGGAUUAGAUACCC